rnacentral:misc_RNA from 1 species
AGCAGCCGCGGUAAUUCCAGCUCCAAUAGCGUAUAUUAAAGUUGUUGCAGUUAAAAAGCUCGUAGUUGAAUUUCGAGAUCAAAUUGUUGGUCGUGCCUUGGUACGCACUGGCAUUAUUGGUUUCUCCCUUCUGACGAACCAUGAUGUCAUUAAUUUGGUGUCUUGGGGAAUCAGGACUGUUACUUUGAAAAAUUAGAGUGUUUAAAGCAGGCUCACGCUUGAAUACAUUAGCAUGGAAUAAUGAAAUAGGACGUUUGAUUCUAUUUUGUUGGUUUCUAGGAUCGACGUAAUGAUUAAUAGGGAUAGUUGGGGGCAUUAGUAUUCGAUUGUCAGAGGUGAAAUUCUUGGAUUUAUUGAAGACUAACUACUGCGAAAGCAUUUGCCAAGGAUUGUUUUCAUUAAUCAAGAACGAAAGUUAGGGGAUCGAAGACGAUCAGAUACCGUCGUAGUCUUAACCAUAAACCUAUGCCGACUAGGGAUCGGAUGAUGUUAAUUUUUAAUGUACUCAUUCC